AGGGCAGUCAUGUUGCACUAACACAGCUGGUGCACUAGCUCUGAUUCUAAUGAUAUAUUCAGCAUUCAAAAUAUCCAACUCUCUGUUCAGAUAUUUGUAACACUUCCUGGUUGCUUUGAGGCUUUUAAUAGGCCUGAAUAAAUCUGUAAGUAUUGAAAAUUUGUCAUCAAAUGGACUACACUGUAGAUAACAAAAACUCAAGUUGUAUAGAGCUAUAUCUAUUCACUUUAUUUUGGCUGAAGAAAAAUAUUGCAGUAAUUUCUUCUUAGCAUCACCAGUUUAAAUGAGUUUGCCUCUUCAUUUAAUUAAUCAGGGAAUCCCUCUUUAAUUAUGUGAUAAAAUCCAUUGCUAAGAUGAUCCUUCUGUCCACUCAGCAAAAUGCUGUGAGAGUUGUUUCAUCCUUUCUUCUUAAUUCUUCAGGUGCAGUUUGCAUUUUUAAUUGCUUAAGACAGUAAUUCAAGGUUGAGAUUAUAGACAGAAGACUUAGACCCUUCAACUUUGUUCUUACACCAAUAAACACCAAAUUAACUCUGCAGAUAAGCAACAUGUAUAAUGCAGUAUGUCUCAAAUGUCAUUCACUCAUGUGCCACCUUCACAAUUUCACAAUUGUCAUAGUUGAGUAAUAUCUGUAUAACUUUUUCUUAUUUGUAAGUUCUUUAAAUCAACUUUUGUUGCCUAAAAGCAUUUAACUAAGAGAAAAACUAUAUAUUACCACCAUAAAAGGAAACCCAGUAUCCUGGGCCAAUAGUAUAUUGCAACUAUAAAAAUUAGUGCAUAAUUAUUAAAUAAAAGUAGUAAUCAGUGAAAAAUAUAAAAUCACUUCACCUCUCUCCCAUAUAGGAGUGGCAUCAUUUUGGAAAUAAUGCCUGCUAUGGUUUGGAUAUAGUUCCUUUGGUCCUGUCAAGUUUCGUGUUGAAAUGUGACCCUUAUGUUGGAGGCAGGGCCUAUUGGAAGGUGUUUGAAUUGUGAGGUUGGAUCCCCCAUGAAUAGCUCGGUGCCAUUUUUGUAGGAGUGAGUGAAUUCCUAUUCUUAGUUCCCAAGAGAACUGGUUGUUGAAAAUAGCCUGGAACUCUCUGGCUGUCUCUGCCUUCCUCCCUCUCUCGCCAUGUGACACACCAGCUCCCUUUCACUUUCUGCCAUGAGUGGAAGCAACUUGAGGCCAUCAGAAGCAGAUGUUGGCAUCAUGCUUCUUGUACAGCCUGCAGAACUGUGAGCCAAAUAAACCUCUUUUCUUUAUAAAUUUCUAAGCCUCAGGUAUUACUUUACAGCCAUACAAACAAACACAGUGCCCAAUUUUAAGACUCCCUGGACUGAAAGUAACAAGACAUCUUACUAGUUACCUGAAUAAUGAACAAAUGACUCCCCACUUUCGCCAUCUGUAGGACACAAUUUUAUCUAUAAAAUAGAGAUUGAAUUAGAAUCAGUAACACACAUUCAUCCCUCCGCUCUCACCUCAUGUCCAUAACAGACAUGGCUAAUUCAUCAGAGCAAUCUUUCCUGGGUGAGAAUGACGGACACUUCUCCACGGUUCUCUCCCUACUCCCUCUCACCUUUGUCUUUUCAUUAACAUUCUUACCUGGUUAAGAUUUUUCCUAACUUGGGAGAGAAAAAUAUUUUUAUUCAAUCCCCUCUUGUCUUUCAGCUAUUGCCCUAUGUCUCUUUUCCCAUCCAAAACAAACUUGAAUGAAUUUUCUUGUCUGCCUUUGCUGUCUCCACUUGCUUACCUCACUCUUCACACUAAUCCAAUCCAGUGUCAUCACUCACCACUGCAUCUAAGCAGAACUGACUUAGGUCACCAAAGAUCUCCUUGUCUUAAAAGUCAAUGAAUAUCUCUUAGUCCUUAUCUUACUUGACCUCUCAGCUCCAUUUGAAAUAUUAACCUACCUGCCUUCUUGAAAUACUCUUUUCCCUCUGAUUCCAGGAUACUAUGCUUUUCCUCAUAGUUCUCUGGCAGCAAGUACGGAAUAUUUUUUUCUUGACCUUAGAGCUAGAUUCAUUUUCUACAUUUCUCCAAGUUGAUCAUCUUCUAGGAGGCUAAUCUAUCUGUAUGGACAGCAUCAAUGGGCUUCCUUGUCACCUGACUUCCCAUUGAUUUGGCCACUGUAAGGCAAUUGCUCCGCCUUCCAGAGGGAAGCCUGGGAGGGGUUGAGCUCCUUUACCAAGGCCACGGCUCCUAUCCAGCAGUCCUCUCCUGAAGCUACAGUCACAGCCUCAGCUCUAUCUACAUUUUGGUAUUCUAAAUUUUGGUAUUCUCUCCCUUCCCUUGCCCCUUUCAAAGCUAGGGGGCAUAUUUCCACCCCUUUGCUAUCACACUAUCCAUUUUUGGUUUCCCUAAACUCUCUUUCAUUAAUCUCCCUAAUUACCCCAUUUGCCUGUGCCAUUUUUUUUUCUCCUAGAACUGAGAUUAUCUAUUCCCUCUAGAUUCCUGAACACUUUUUUAUGAAGUGUCACAUAAAUGUGACACAAAUGCAUACUUUUAUCUUCUUAGAACUGUAAAAUGAUGAAUGCUUCAUUUCAAAACUUGAAAUGUAUUGUUAAAUUUACUUUGUGGUGCUGUUUUAAUCAAUGGAUUCAAGUGUGUGUUUCCAAUAGAUACAAAGGCAAAUCAAUAGUCUUGGCAAAUUUAGUGUGGAUUUCUUAUUUUUAGGAUGGUAUACAGGAGUAGGCUAAAAAUAAUCUCCCUAAAAUAUUGGUUUCUAAUUUCUGAAACCUGUAAAUGUUAUGUUAUAUGGAAAAUGGGCAUAUGACAGAUGUACCUUUCAGCAAUAACUUAAGCAUAUAUUCUGAGAAUGACUCUGUAUGGCAAACACACCUGACAGCAAUAACUUAACUUGAUACCCUUAGAUUGACCCUGUGGUCUAAAAAGAAUGUGUGUGUGGAGUCCAAAGCUAAGGAAUCCGGAAGUGGCCAACCCGGAGAUUCAUUCCUUAUCUACGAGGAACAUCUCAAUCCCCAUCCCAUCCCAUGGAACAUGAGCCAUACAGGGGAUCAAAACCCUUUGUUUUGGGUUAAAUGAAGGUUGUGAGGUGUAGGCUGAUAUGAGAAAGGUGCUAAGUGAAAAUGCCACAUAAACUGCAUUUUCUUUUUUUUUUUCUUUUUUUGGGGAUGGAGUCUCACUCUGUCACCAGGCUGGAGUGCAGUGGCACGAUCUUGGCUCACUGCAACCUCCGCCUCCCAGGUUCAAGUGAUUCUCCUGCCUCAGCCUCCCAAGUAGCUGGGACUACAGGCAUGUGCCACCACGCUCAGCUAAUUUUUUGUAUUUGUAGUAGAGACGGGGUUUCACAGUAUUAGCCAGGAUGGUCUCAAUCUCCUGACCUCAGGAUCUGCCCGCCUCAGCCUCCCAAAGUGCUGGGAUUACAGGCGUGAACCACCACACCCGGCCUAAACUGCAUGUUUUUUACAAGUGGUAGCUGUUCUUUUAUCCAGCCCAUUGACACUGGGUUCCUUCAAUAAACCCUGUAUUUCAUUCACCGGCUCUAGGUCUCUUCUUCAGCCUGUCAAACAGGGUGUCACUCCUAUCGAUGUCAGCAAGGGUCUGGCAUGACAAAGGCUCUUUUCAGAUGUGAUUAAGAAUCUUGAAGACUAUACUUUGAGGGAUCAUUUCUAUAGUUUGUUACUGGAGAAGUUUCUCUGAAUAUGUAGAGCACCACAAAUCACGAGGAAAAAGCGCAGCAUUCUCUCCUGAGCAUGAAGCCAGUUUUCAGUGUUGCUUCGAUGUAACUGCCUUCUGCCCUUGAUGAUCAUUCUUCUCUCCUCCCUGGAGAGUAAGAGGGAGAGGAGGCAGUCUGAGUGGUUUUCUGAAAAACAAAAAAACAAACAAAAAGGAAUCUUGAGAUGAGGAGAUUAUCCUGAUGAGUCCUUAAUACAAUCAACAGUGUCCUUGUAAGAUGGCGGAAGAGGGAGAUUUUGACUACAGACAGAAAAGGAGUUGGUGAUGUAAACUCAGAGGCAGAAAUUAGAGUGAUGUGGCCACAAUCCAAGGAAUACUGGCAGCCGUCAGAAGCUGGGAGACGUGAGAAAUGAAUUCUCCUCUAGAACCUCAGGGAGAAUGUGGCCCUAUGAACACCUUGUGCUCAACCCAGUAAUGCUGAUUUUGGACUUAUGGCCUCCAGAACUGUGAGGAAAUAAAUUUCUGUUAAGUCAUCAAGUUUGUUUGUUCUGGCAACCAUAAUAAACUAAUACACAGGCCAUAUCUGUAAUUCUGACAUAUUUAAGGCCUUGGGCUCAAUGCUCUUCAUUAAUACAAGGCACAUAUGAAUGUAUGCAAAUGUCUCAUUUCACUGUAAAACAUCAGUCUCCAUCUUAGCUGUGGGCAAAAUGUGCUCAUGCAAUGGAAGAAAAUGCACAUGGAUUUCUGCAUAAGAAAAGAUAUUUUACUUUUCAAAAAAAAUCAGAUUACAAAUAUAAGUUCAUUUCUAAAACAUAAUACAAUAUAGAAUGUCAUAUACACAAUAUACAAUAAAGACAAAAAUAAAACCCAUCACUUAGAGAUAAUCCCCAUUUUUUAAGAAUUUGGCAUAUUUCCUUUCAAACAUAUUUCUCUGGCUACACACACACCCACAUACACACACGCAUGCAUACCCACCAUGCUGUAUCAUGCAAAUUGGAUCAUGCUAUCUGAAUCUAAGAUGUUUUGUAGUUUGCCUUUUCUACUACUAUUUCAUGGCAUUCCUUUCUAGUUAGUAAAUAUGUAUAUAUCAUCCUUUUUAAUGACUUCAUAAUAUUCAAUCACAUUGCUAACUCCUAAUUUAUUUAAUGACCAUUUUCUUGGCAUUCAAUUUCCAAAUUUUAUAUUCAUAGUCAUCCUAUGUAUGUAUAUCUCUGAACUCGUCUGAGUAUUUUUCUGAUAUAAAUUGCUAGAAGAAAAACUGCUAAGCCAAAUAGGAGCACAUUUAUAAUACUGACACAUACUGCCAGAUUGAUAUUCCAAAUUUUGUACUACUUUACACUACAAAAAAAAGUAUAGUCUUAAGAUUUAAGUUUCAUUGGUUGCAAAGAACAGAAAGCAUGCUAAAUAAAGGAGAAAAGAGAAGUAUUAAAAGGAUACAGGGCCAGGCACAGUGACUCGCACAUGUAAUACCAGCACUUUGGGUGGCCAAGGCAGGAGGAUUGCUUGACCCCAGGCAGGAGUUUGAGAUGAGCUGAGGCAACAUAGUGAGACCCUGUCUCUACAAAAAAAAUAUAUAUUUUUUUAAUUAGCCAGAUGUGGUGGUGCACGCCUGUAGUCCCAGCUACUUGGGGGAUUGUGGUAGGAGGAUCCCUUGAGCCUGGAAGUUCAAGGCUGCAGUGAGCUGUGAUUCUACCACUGCACUCAAGCCUGGACAACAGAAGUAGACCCUGUUUCAAAAAAAAUAAAAAAUAAAUAAAUAAUUUUAAAAGGAUAUUGAAGUAGUUCAUAGAUACAAAAAAAGGGCUAAAUGCCAAGUCAGGGGCUAGGUUCCUCAUACUCUUUCCCGAGGCCUUCCUGAAGGUGAUGCUGAUCCAUCCUCCUCUUAGCUCUUUGUGAAUUAAAUUCCCAAAAGACAGAAUAGGAUUGGAAGAGCUUGGCACAAGUGCCCUCUCCCUAGACCACUCAUUGCUUCCUGGGCUGUAUUUUGAUUGGCCAUUUCUUACCAUAGCAUAUGGCAAAGAGAAAAUUGCAUGUCUCCAUAACUUGCACAUGAAAGAGAAGCCAUUACAGGGAUGCAGAUUACUUUAUGUUCAACCUUGAAUUAAUAACAACAACGGCUGUAGAGAGUUUUUGAAAAGUACGUCUCAAGGUGGGAUACCUGAGGAGAUACAGAAUGACAUCAAGGCUCCCGGAAACAUCAGCAAACAUCAGCAAUAAUGUGGAACCUGAAGUCCAACGAAAGUGAACAUUUCCCUGAGUCAUACCUGUCAGGGAUUUCCCAAGCUACAUUCUGCAUUCGGUGUAGUCUGAUGUUUGUGGUCAUGCUUAUGUUAUAUACUGAGCAAACCAUGGGGACUAGAGCCAAAGCCCUUCUUACAGACUGUUGCCAUAAGAAAUCAGAUUUCUUUCUAGAUGGGCUUCCUACUAGACUUUGUAGGGGAUACAAAUUUGGCACAAACAUUAUUCUGAACCUCAUCUCCAUUAUAAAUAUUUAACCCUCUUUUGUAUUUCAUCACUUGGAUGAAAAAGGCACAUCAAAUUUUACUAACCUCCCUCCCCUACUUAACCUAUCAUUCUAUGUCAGCAAAUGCCAGUGCCAUCUACUAAGUAGCAUAAGCCCAAGAUGUGACCUUUUCUUCACUUCCAUGUCCUGUCGGUCUCUAUCUAGAUUCUAGUUAACAGUAAUUGCUAACACAUUCACAACACUUACCAUAUGCUAGCUACUGCUCUAUGCUUGUUAUAAACCAGUUUAUUGUUCACUGCAUCUUUAGGAAGUACUACUAUUAUCUCAAUUUUGCAGACAAGAAAGCUGAGGCACAGAGAGGUUACACAGCAUCCCCAGCCACAAAGCUAGUCAGUGGUAUAGCUGGUAUGCGGCCUGGGAAACUCUGGCUGCAGAAUCCAUGCUUUUAACUAUUGGCAUUUAUGUCCUAAAUAUUUAGUGAAUCUCUCCUCUUUUCUCCGUCUUUUCUUUGUUCCUGUCCUUAUCAAACCUCACUUAAGUUGUAACUUUAUCGUGGUGGUCAUUAUAUGAAUCUCCACAUGUGACAAAAUUUCAUAAACCUAUAUGUAUGUAAAAGCUGGUAAAAUCUAAAUAAAGUCUGUAUUCUAGUUAAUAGCAUUGUGCCAAUGUGAGGUUCCUGGUUUUUAUAAUACAUUAUAGUUCUGUAAGUUGUUAUAGUUCUGUAAGUUGUUACCAUUAAAGGAAGUGGUUACCAUUUAAGAGUAUAUAGGGUCUCAUUCUUUUAUUUUGCUAUUUCUUAUGAAUCUAUAAUUAUUUCAAAAUAAAACAUUAAAAAAUUAACCUUGGCUAUUACAACAGCUUCCAUGGGAACCUUCCUGCUAUUAUCUCUGUGUCCUGCCCACCAACUCCUUUCCUCAUCGUAGCCAGAGGGAUUUUGUUUUCUCCCUAUUGUCUACUUGCAGUUCUUCCACAUCCCCUAUUGUCCUGAAGGAUAAAGUCCACAUUUCUUAACAUAUUCAAAGGUCUGGCCCCACUCCAGAUUCCCAAUCCCACCCCUUGCCACUCUCUACCUUCCAUAUUGUAUUCCCACAUGGCAUUUUCAGGAGAAAUACUUAUUCCUCCCUGAAUGUGUCACAGAUUCACUGCUCUGGGACUUUGCUCCAGCUUUUCUCAUGCCUGAGGAGUCUUCCCAGCACCUCCUUCUGCCAAUGUUAAUCCAUCUUUUGGAAUGGGUAGGAGCUCAGCAUUGCCUUCUCUGGGACUUUUCCUGUCUCCUCUUCUUCCCCAUCUGAGUUGAGUUAGACCUCUCUAAGGUCCCAAAGCAUCAGAUGGAUGUUUCUAUAUUGUCAUUUCCUAAACUGCCUCAUAUCCAUUCAUUUAAUCAUCUGUUUCCUGACAUUUCCCCUGAAGACCAAAAUAAAUCUAUCUUGUAUAUAAAAUUUCCGCAACACAGUGGGGUCUAAAUAAGUUAAUGAAAAAAAUAAAUGGACUUUGAAAAUGACCAUUUUCUAUCUUGUCAAAGGACUACAUUAUACACCACUUACUCAAACUUCCUUUUCUUCAUCACAAAACAAUUAAUGCAUUUCUACAUUGACCUCCCCAAAGCCACACUUUAAUUUUGUCUUUUUAAACAUUUUAAGUGAUGUUUGAG
rnacentral:lncRNA from 10 species